UCCUCCUUCCUCCUUCCUCCUUCCUCCCUCCUCUCAAAACACAAAACAAAUACAACAGAGAGUGAGGUUUCUUCCUCUCCGAGACAGUCACCAAUGGCGCAUGUGCGAUUGCAUUAACCGCACCGAUUUCAGUCGAAAACUCAGGCCCUGAAGCAUCGCUGUUGUCAUCUCCUUCAUACACAGAGUUGGGAAGGCUAGUUUCUCUGACACAGUGCUGUCUGUCCAUACUUGGCAUUGGAGACAUGUCGACAGUGGCAUUUGAGUAACAAAACUGUAAACCUGAUGAGGAAUGGAAAGAUGCCUACUGUCUCAAUUGAGCAGGCCCAGAAUAAUUACACCAAAGCUGUAAAAGCGGGUCUUCUUAAAAUCCUUUCCAAAAUGGGGAUCUCAUUGCUUUCAAGUUACUGCGGUGCACAGAUUUUUGAAAUCUAUGGAUUAGGAAAGGAAGUUGUCGAUCUUGCAUUCAGAGGAAGUAUGUCAAAAAUUGGGG